rnacentral:lncRNA from 1 species
GGCAAUUUGGGAAAUGGAAUCUUUAUGUUGCUGGGUAUUUUCUCCUUCCACACCUCCUUCUCCUUGCUGGACAGGAGGGGAGGGCAGAAGACGUGUUUGUGGCCACAUUCCCGGUGUGGCCCGCCUGGACAGGAGCCAGGGUGCACACUGACCUGCACAGCCUCUGGCCUCUGUCCCUGGGCCUGAGAGGCAGGAGCAAGGGGCCUGUCCUCACUCUGAAUCCAACUGCUGGUGACUCAGGGCACCCUGCUGGACCCUCCAGGAGAAGUUGGGGCCCACGUUUCUAGGCUGCCCACUCAUCCAAACCUCCCUCCAUGUCCCUGACCAAAGCAUUUCGCAGAUCUGGGUCCUCUGGUGUGUGAGGCUCCUCCCAGCCCAUGAGCAUUGGAAAAUGUCUACAAGAUCUUUGCCAUUUUAGGUUCUACCGAGGCUAAAGAAUGUAUGUUUCCUCUGCUUAGACUUAAGUUUUUGAGUAACUUUAUAGACACUUUGGCAUUUUGGCUGAAAGGGCAUGUGCAGUAACUGAAUAUGACUUGUGCACUGUUUCAGUGCCAGUGGGUCACAUGCAGGGGAGUCAGAGCCAAGGUGGAUGAGGCUGGGAUAUCUACAUGCUUGGUGGGGAGUUGGAGUCAGGGUGGAUGAGGCUGGGAUAUCUACAUGCUUGGUGGGGAGUCGGAGCCAGGGUGGAUGAGGCUGGGAUAUCUACAUGUUUGGUGGGGAGUUGGAGUCAGGGUGGAUGAGGCUGGGAUAUCUACAUGCUUGGUGGGGAGUCGGAGCCAGGGUGGAUGAGGCUGGGAUAUCUACAUGCUUGGUGGGGAGUUGGAGCCAAGGUGGAUGAGGCUGGGAUAUCUACAUGCUUGGUGGGGAGUCGGAGUCAGGGUGGAUGAGGCUGGGAUAUCUACAUGCUUGGUGGGGAGUCGGAGCCAGGGUGGAUGAGGCUGGGAUAUCUACAUGCUUGGUGGGGAGUCGGAGUCAGGGUGGUUGAGGCUGGGAUAUCUACAUGCUUGGUGGGGAGUCGGAGUCAGGGUGGUUGAGGCUGGGAUAUCUACAUGCUUGGUGGGGAGUUGGAGUCAGGGUGGAUGAGGCUGGGAUAUCUACAUGCUUGGUGGGGAGUCGGAGCCAGGGUGGAUGAGGCUGGGAUAUCUACAUGUUUGGUGGGGAGUUGGAGUCAGGGUGGAUGAGGCUGGGAUAUCUACAUGCUUGGUGGGGAGUCGGAGUCAGGGUGGUUGAGGCUGGGAUAUCUACAUGCUUGGUGGGGAGUCGGAGCCAAGGUGGAUGAGGCUGGGAUAUCUACAUGCUUGGUGGGGAGUUGGAGCCAAGGUGGAUGAGGCUGGGAUAUCUACAUGCUUGGUGGGGAGUUGGAGUCAGGGUGGAUGAGGCUGGGAUAUCUACAUGCUUGGUGGGGAGUCGGAGUCAGGGUGGUUGAGGCUGGGAUAUCUACAUGCUUGGUGGGGAGGAGGAGCCAAAGUGGAUGAGGCUGGGAUAUCUACAUGCUUGGUGGGGAGUUGGAGCCAAGGUGGAGGAGGCUGGGAUAUCUACAUGCUUGGUGGGGAGUUGGAGUCAGGGUGGAUGAGGCUGGGAUAUCUACAUGCUUGGUGGGGAGUUGGAUCCAAGGUGGAUGAGGCUGGGAUAUCUACAUGCUUGGUGGGGAGUUGGAGUCAGGGUGGUUGAGGCUGGGAUAUCUACAUGCUUGGUGGGGAGUUGGAGUCAGGGUGGAUGAGGCUGGGAUAUCUACAUGCUUGGUGGGGAGUUGGAGUCAGGGUGGUUGAGGCUGGGAUAUCUACAUGCUUGUUGGGGAAGAGGAGCCAAAGAUGUGGAUUUCCUCUGUCUCCACAUCCUUGGGCAAGGACUGGUGAUCAGCUGCUGCUGUCUUAUUUUAUUUGCUUCUCCAGUAAAUGAACUUUAUAUAGUUGGUAGCUUGGCGUUUUCCAUUUUGCAUUACUGAAAUUUCAAUAAAUAGUGCUUUAGUUAGAUGUAAAUCUCUGUCAUUUGUGGCAGAGGAACUUAAAUGUCGGCCUGCAUUUUAGGGCACCUUUUUGUAUAGAGCAGAGAGAAGGGAAGUGCUGUCCCCCAGUGGCCUGGACCAGGCGGAGCCCAGCCUGUUGAUGAUGCAUUGUGUGUGCUUGGCAUGUGUGACGUGGCAAGGGAUUCAUGUUCUCUGUGGGCAGCUGCCUGAGUAGUAGACAUGUGAGGCCCCUUCCCGGGCAUUUUGUCCUGUCCUCAGGACAUGAAGAAAGCAGCUAGGCAAAGGCACUCUUUGCAGCUUUAAAUGGCCUAGAGUUACCCCCAGAAAAACAAUUCUACUUCUGUUCCACUUCUGUCCAAUUAAAACAAGUUUGUUCAUUUUAUUUUAGGAGCAAUUUGCCAUUGUUUUUGUGCAUUCGGCAGUUGUUUAUUUGCUGCUUGCAGUUGUGGUUGUUCGUGGUAUCAUUCACGAAUACAAUUUUGAACGAGGAAGAGCUGUGAUGACAAAUGCACUAAGAGACACCACUGUGGCUCUCCACAAAUUAGCCAGAACAUAAGGGUGGGAGGAGCCUGUCUUUCCCUGGCAGCACAGGGCUGCCUGGUCUUAAGAAGUCUGUAGUUGAGAACACAGCAUGUGGUUACAUGUAUACAUUAUUUGAAGGUGCACAAAGCAAAGGGAAGCCAACCACAAAAUGCCAGUUGUGCUAGUAGCAUGUGCUUCUUUAUGAAUGAAAGAACAUACGCAUUUUUGGUAUUAAUUAUUUAUAUAUUUUAUACAUGAAAUCUCAUUUGACAGGUUCCCUGUGACUCCACUGGGGAAUUCAGGGUGGGAGAGGUAGUGCCCCCAUCUUCAUAAGAGGGAGCAGACUUAGAGACAUAGCUGUAGAGAUUACACAGCUGGUAAGAAGUGGUUCCUAGAUGCUAGCCCUGGGGACCCGGCUCUGGUGUGGCGACAGCGCCUUUCACACCUGUAUCCUGAGAGUCGUGGGAAUGGCAUGUAGUUUAAAGUACAGAGAUGGGGGCAUGGAGUCAUUCCUAGGCUCCCAGGGAAGAGCAGGAUGUUUUUGAUAUGGCCGAUUAGGAAGAAUGGGCACUUUGAUCUCUGCAAAGAGAGCCUGCGCUUCAGUGACUAAGUAGGAUUUGACCCUUCAACCUUGACUCUAGUAGAUGGCUCAGUUAAAGGCUACGUGGUGAUUCUUAGGAGGCUUUUAAAUUAGAUAGAUGGAUUUGUCCCUGGAGAGACAAAGCUGAAAUCCUAUAUCACAUAGAUGUUAUAGACCGAGGAGGGGGGAUUUACCUACAGUUAUUUAAGCUUUUAAAGUAGAAAAAAGGUCCAGUUGAAAUGAUAUAUAACAACAGGCUAUCUGGAGAUGGAUAUAUUGUGAAUAAAUAAUUAUUCUACAUUCUCUUAAUUUGGCAGCAAAAAUAUAAUUAGGUUUUAUAAUUUCUGAUAUAAACAAUAUAAACAUUGUUAUGGUGUACAUAAAAUUUUUUUAGAUUAGUAAGAAAACCAUACGUAUAAACAUGUGUUAAGUCUGAGGAAAGAAUUACGUCGUUCAUUGGCUAUUUGCGAUUUUAAUGCACCUUAUAUCACUUGGCCCAAAUACUCUUAGGGCAGAAGCAUAAUGCUUACAUUCACAUUCUCAAAUGACCCAAGAAAGAGAAAAGAUUUGGACCCUUAAUGAGUUGUAGAUCUCAUAUAUAAACCUUUACUUCUGUUAAAGGAAGAAUGCUAGUGUAGGAUGUAUUUAGCAAUGAUUAGAUUUAUUGAGCACUUUUGUGUUAUGCAUGAAAAAUCAAAUAGAAUAGCGGUAGCUAAGAGAAAUUCAUUCCAAAAGUGUGCUGGCUUCAUAAAUGAUUUUGUGAUGUGUGUCCUCUUUUUCAGUAGGGUCUGUAACAGGAUAGUGUGGUUUUUAGUAGAUAGUAUUGCAUUUCUAAAGUACGUAAGCUUGCAGAUAAUUUUCAAAGGGAUAUCAAUUAGUUUCCCAGUAUAACACACA